UACGUAGGGUGCAAGCGUUGUCCGGAAUUAUUGGGCGUAAAGAGCUCGUAGGCGGUCUGUCGCGUCGGCUGUGAAAACCCGGAGCUCAACUCCGGGCCUGCAGUCGAUACGGGCAGACUGGAGUUCGGCAGGGGAGACUGGAAUUCCUGGUGUAGCGGUGAAAUGCGCAGAUAUCAGGAGGAACACCAGUGGCGAAGGCGGCUUUCUGGCCUGCUCUUGACGCUGAGGCGCGAAAGCUAGGGUAGCAAACGGG
rnacentral:rRNA from 1 species